rnacentral:rRNA from 1 species
UACGUAGGGGGCGAGCGUUGUCCGGAUUUACUGGGCGUAAAGCGCGUGUAGGCGGCUGCUUAAGUCGGGUGUGAAAGCCCGGGGCUCAACCCCGGGAUGCCGCCCGAGACUGGGCGGCUUGAGGUCGGAAGAGGGGAGUGGAAUUCCAGGUGUAGCGGUGAAAUGCGUAGAGAUCUGGAGGAACACCAGUGGCGAAGGCGGCUUUCUGGCCUGUUCUUGACGCUGAGGCGCGAAAGCUAGGGUAGCAAACGGG